AGCAGAACAUAUUAUAUCAUUCAUGUGAGACAAGGAGCAGGACAGGAGGGAGCUGAUCAAGUCUCACAGAUCAUGUCAGAUAAAUAUAUAUGUAUAAGAAGGAACUACUUUGAGAGUGUGUUAGAGUGAACUUCCAAGCCUGCAUGUACACAUUUAACGCGGGACACUUCAGCUGUAGUGAAUGCAUCCGACCCCCCAGCUCAACAACAGAGUAUAAUGACAACGUUAAGAGUUUUCGGUUUCAAAGAUACAGUUGGAGCAUGCUUAUUAACGUAUGCAGUCCGGACAGGAGAUGGGAUCCAGGAUUUGAGUCGUUCCCAAACUCCAGCCGGGUUUUAACUCCGAUCUGAGCGGCUCCUCUUCAGUAAAAUGUAACAAAGAACAGUCGGCAUGGCGGAUGGACCGGAGACGCAAACCACCAAACCGGAGUCGAUGCUCUUCAACGCCAGGCAGUCGGCGGUUGAGGCGGCGUAGCCUGAUGUUUAUCCAUUCCCAGAGUCGACACCCAACUCCCCCAGUGAUCCACAUUGUUUGAACCAAAUCAACAGCCUCCAAUCAGAGAUGGAGACAACAACUUCCAACAAACUUGUUUCAACAUCCAUCCAUUUUCAACCACUUAUCUGAAGCCGGGUCGUGAUGGCAGCAGGCCGAGCAAGGUAUUCCAGACGUCCCUCUUCCCAGCAACGCCUUCCAGCUCCUCCUGGGGGACCUUGAGGUGUCUCCAGGCCAGAUGGGAUAUGUAAUCCCUCCAGCGUGUUCUGGGUCUGCCCCGGGGCCUCCUACUAGUUGGACGUGCCUGGAACACCUCGAACGGAAGGCGCCAUGGAGGAUCCUGAUCGAAUGCCCGAACCACCUCAACUGACCCCUUUUGAUGCCAAGGAGCAGCGGCUCUACUCCGAGCUCCUGACCCUAUCUCUAAGGCUGAGCCCAGACAACGUACGUUAGAAACUCAUUUUGUCUGCUUGUAUCCACAACCUCAUUCUUUCGGUCACUACCCAGAGCUCAUGACCAUAGGUGAGGGCUGGGACGUAGAUGGACCAGUAAAUCGAAAUUGCCUUUCAGCUCAGCUCCCUCUUCACCACGAUUUGUUUUGACAAAUAAAUAAAAUUUUUAGAACGCA